GCUCGAGUGGCGAACGGGUGAGUAACACGUGAGUAACCUGCCCUUGACUUUGGGAUAACUUCAGGAAACUGGGGCUAAUACCGGAUAGGAGCUCCUGCUGCAUGGUGGGGGUUGGAAAGUUUCGGCGGUUGGGGAUGGACUCGCGGCUUAUCAGCUUGUUGGUGGGGUAGUGGCUUACCAAGGCUUUGACGGGUAGCCGGCCUGAGAGGGUGACCGGCCACAUUGGGCUGAGAUACGGCCCAG
rnacentral:rRNA from 1 species